AUUGAACGCUUGCGGCAGGCCUAACACAUGCAAGUCGAGCGAGCGGCGGACGGGUGAGUAAUGUCUGGGAAACUGCCUGAUGGAGGGGGAUAACUACUGGAAACGGUAGCUAAUAUCGCAUACCAUCAGAUGUGCCCAGAUGGGGUUAGCUAGUAGGUGGGGUAACGGCUCACCUAGGCGUCGAUCCCUAGCUGUUCUGAGAGGAUGACCAGCCACACUGGAAAGGAGACAGGGUCAAGACUGCUACGGAAGGCAGCAGUGGGGAAUAUUGCACAAUGGGCGCAAGCCUGAUGCAGCCAUGCCGCGUGUGUGAAGAAGGCAUUCGGGUUGUAAAGCACUUUCAGCGGGGAGGCGUUACCCGCAGAAGAAGCACCGGCUAACUCCGUGCCAGCAGCCGCGGUUAC
rnacentral:rRNA from 1 species